GACGAACGCUGGCGGCGUGCUUAACACAUGCAAGUCGAACGGAAAGGCCCUGCUCUUGCGGGGUGCUCGAGUGGCGAACGGGUGAGUAACACGUGAGUAACCUGCCCUUGACUUUGGGAUAACUUCAGGAAACUGGGGCUAAUACCGGAUAGGAGCUCCUGAUGCAUGGUGGGGGUUGGAAAGUUUCGGCGGUUGGGGAUGGUCUCGCGGCUUAUCAGCUUGAUGGUGGGGUAGUGGCUUACCAAGGCUUUGACGGGUAGCCGGCCUGGGAGGGGGACCGGCGACAUGGGGCCUGAGAGACGGCGCAGUCGCGUACGGGAGGCAGCAGGGGGGAGCAUUGCGCAAUGGGCGGAAGCCUGAUGUAGCAACGCCGCGUGCGUGAUGACGGCCUACGGGGUGUAAACCGCUGUCGCCUGUGACGAAGCGUGAGUGACGGUAAUGGGUAAGGAAGCACCGGCUAACUACGUG
rnacentral:rRNA from 1 species